rnacentral:rRNA from 1 species
AACGAACGCUGGCGGCAGGCCUAACACAUGCAAGUCGAGCGGGGUUUUCGGACCUAGCGGCGGACGGGUGAGUAAUGCGUAGGAAGCUACCCGAUAGAGGGGGAUACCAGUUGGAAACGACUGUUAAUACCGCAUAAUGUCUACGGACCAAAGUGUGGGACCUUCGGGCCACAUGCUAUCGGAUGCGCCUACGUGGGAUUAGCUAGUUGGUGAGGUAAUGGCUCACCAAGGCGACGAUCCCUAGCUGGUUUGAGAGGAUGAUCAGCCACACUGGAACUGGGACAUGGUCCAGACUCCUACGGGAGGCAGCAGUGGGGAAUAUUGGACAAUGGGCGCAAGCCUGAUCCAGCCAUGCCGCGUGUGUGAAGAAGGCCUUCGGGUUGUAAAGCACUUUCAGCGAGGAGGAAGGGGUGAGUGUUAAUAGUACUCAUCUUUGACGUUACUCGCAGAAGAAGCACCGGCUAACUCUGUGCCAGCCGCCGCGGUAAAAC